rnacentral:rRNA from 1 species
UACAGGGGGUGCAAACGUUGCUCGGAAUUAUUGGGCGUAAAGGGCUCGUAGGUGGCCAACUAGGUCAGACGUGAAAUCCCUCGGCUUAACCGGGGAACUGCGUCUGAUACUGGAUGGCUUGAGUUCGGGAGAGGGAUGCGGAAUUCCAGGUGUAGCGGUGAAAUGCGUAGAUAUCUGGAGGAACACCGGUGGCGAAGGCGGCAUCCUGGACCGACACUGACGCUGAGGAGCGAAAGCCAGGGGAGCAAACGGG